rnacentral:misc_RNA from 1 species
GAAAGUAAAAGUCGUAACAAGGUAUCCGUAGGUGAACCUGCGGAAGGAUCAUUAUUGUAUAACCGAGGUGCGAGGGCUGUCGCUGACCCGAAAGGUCGUGCACGCCCGAGUGCCCUCACACACAUCCAUCUCACCCCUAUGUGCACCACCGCGUGGGUCCCCCUUUGGCUUGUUCGGAGGGGGGCUUACGUUUUCACACAAACUUUGUAUGCAGUGUAGAAUGUAUUUUUUGUUUUUGCGAUCACGCAAUCAAUACAACUUUCAACAACGGAUCUCUUGGCUCUC